GGGGUUGUGGCUCAGUGGUAGAGUGCUUACCUAGCAUGUGUGAGGCACUGGGUUAGAUCCCCAGAACCACA
rnacentral:tRNA from 1 species